UGAACGCUGGCGGCAGGCCUAACACAUGCAAGUCGAGCGGUAGCACAGAGAGCUUGCUCUCGGGUGACGAGCGGCGGACGGGUGAGUAAUGUCUGGGAAACUGCCUGAUGGAGGGGGAUAACUACUGGAAACGGUAGCUAAUACCGCAUAAUGUCGCAAGACCAAAGUGGGGGACCUUCGGGCCUCAUGCCAUCAGAUGUGCCCAGAUGGGAUUAGCUAGUAGGUGGGGUAACGGCUCACCUAGGCGACGAUCCCUAGCUGGUCUGAGAGGAUGACCAGCCACACUGGAACUGAGACACGGUCCAGACUCCUACGGGAGGCAGCAGUGGGGAAUAUUGCACAAUGGGCGCAAGCCUGAUGCAGCCAUGCCGCGUGUGUGAAGAAGGCCUUCGGGUUGUAAAGCACUUUCAGCGGGGAGGAAGGCGUUAAGGUUAAUAACCUUGUCGAUUGACGUUACCCGCAGAAGAAGCACCGGCUAACUCCGUGCCAGCAGCCGCGGUAAUACGGAGGGUGCAAGCGUUAAUCGGAAUUACUGGGCGUAAAGCGCACGCAGGCGGUCUGUCAAGUCGGAUGUGAAAUCCCCGGGCUCAACCUGGGAACUGCAUUCGAAACUGGCAGGCUAGAGUCUUGUAGAGGGGGGUAGAAUUCCAGGUGUAGCGGUGAAAUGCGUAGAGAUCUGGAGGAAUACCGGUGGCGAAGGCGGCCCCCUGGACAAAGACUGACGCUCAGGUGCGAAAGCGUGGGGAGCAAACAGGAUUAGAUACCCUGGUAGUCCACGCCGUAAACGAUGUCGAUUUGGAGGUUGUGCCCUUGAGGCGUGGCUUCCGGAGCUAACGCGUUAAAUCGACCGCCUGGGGAGUACGGCCGCAAGGUUAAAACUCAAAUGAAUUGACGGGGGCCCGCACAAGCGGUGGAGCAUGUGGUUUAAUUCGAUGCAACGCGAAGAACCUUACCUGGUCUUGACAUCCACAGAACUUAGCAGAGAUGCUUUGGUGCCUUCGGGAACUGUGAGACAGGUGCUGCAUGGCUGUCGUCAGCUCGUGUUGUGAAAUGUUGGGUUAAGUCCCGCAACGAGCGCAACCCUUAUCCUUUGUUGCCAGCGGUCCGGCCGGGAACUCAAAGGAGACUGCCAGUGAUAAACUGGAGGAAGGUGGGGAUGACGUCAAGUCAUCAUGGCCCUUACGACCAGGGCUACACACGUGCUACAAUGGCAUAUACAAAGAGAAGCGACCUCGCGAGAGCAAGCGGACCUCAUAAAGUAUGUCGUAGUCCGGAUUGGAGUCUGCAACUCGACUCCAUGAAGUCGGAAUCGCUAGUAAUCGUAGAUCAGAAUGCUACGGUGAAUACGUUCCCGGGCCUUGUACACACCGCCCGUCACACCAUGGGAGUGGGUUGCAAAAGAAGUAGGUAGCUUAACCUUCGGGAGGGCGCUUA
rnacentral:rRNA from 1 species